rnacentral:lncRNA from 1 species
AGUAUAGUCACUAUAGAGUUAUUUUGGCCACAUGCAUUUAACUCCCAUAUGUAUAGUAAAAUUGGGUUCAAAAUAACUGCACUGGAGGUACGUUAACUCCUUAAAAUGAACAGGCUUACAUAUGUAUCCAGCUAUAGGAAAACUGCAACUUUCUUGCAAUUAGACUAGCUUGCUCACGCCGCCAUUUUUGGGAUUCUGUUUUUCCAAAUCUGAGAUUGUACGCAGUGAAUAAGGGAUUUGUAUCCCUAUAUCAUGGAUUUAGCCUAAUUCCGCCCAGUAGAGUAAUUUUGAACCACAUUUAACGCCCAUAUGUAUUGUAAAAUUGGAUUCAAAGUUAACUCCUUAAAAUGAACAUGCUUAGGCCUACAUAUAUGCAAGUAUUAAAAACUGUAGGAAAACUGCCACUUUCAAUUGGGUCUUAGAAAGUUUUUCAAUCUUAAGCACUGUAAUAAAGUCGAUCUUUAUAAACUGUGUUGUUUUUUAUGUGAUAUAGAUAAUACACGAUAGGUUUUCUUGUGUACGUAAUCAUUUGGUUCAAGGAGUUUGUUUCGUGAAUCCAGUGACGAAAUGAGAUACUCAACACGCGAAACGCGCGUUUUUUAUUAACACGCAUUGGUAUAGUAAUUCAUUCGCUUUUUAACUUUUGAUUAACAUUGUUGACAUAACUAAUUGAAAUACAUUCGUUUAAACUUUCUGCUGAAAGGUCCUGUCCAGUGGCACAUGACUUGAAAUUCUGUUCGUCUGACGCGUAAGGAAUUUUAACCGAGUAUUCGCAGUUUUUCAACAGUCUUUCAUUGAAUUUAUGUGAAUUACUGAAUAUCUUCUUUCUCUACCUCAUAUAAAGCCCUUCAACACUGGCAGUCGAUAUCAUUGACAGCAGAAUUACUCCGACUUCCCGAACUCUAUGAUAAAGUUCGUGAUAGAGUUGGUAUAUAUUGAUAUUAAAUGCUCGUAUUUACUAUUAAUGAUUUGUUGUUGCAUGAUAAUACGAUAUAAAAUUCUAGUCUUAGUGUUAGUGUAGCUUGUUUGUUAAAACUGUUCAUGCUUAUUACCUCGGGUCGGUACGACACCGAGGUCUUAAAUUCGGCUCCUAUUUUUUUUUUCCUUGUUUUUUUUGUUUGUUUUUUUUCCAUUUGUGUCGAGCCGCGCGCGUAGUCGAAGAUCGAAGGGCCUGCGGAGGAGACGACAACUUCCGGUAAAUAAGUGUACUUCCGGCAAGCAUCGGCCAAAGCGAAACGGAACCCGAAGCUGUCCUUGCACAAAAUCCGUCAGAAUUGUUGAUUUAAAACCAGAAGAUGUGAUAAUUUUGACAUACAUGUUGAGCUGGACAACUAUUCUCGAGUAUAUGUUGAUAUAAUGUACAAUACAUCGUAUGCAUAGCAUGGGAAUACCGCGGCCAACUUUCACUUGUUAUCUAUUAUAAUUACUGACCCGAAUCAAAAGUAAUUAUUUUCGGCUGGAAGACUACUGUACGUUGCUGCUUGUCGGGACCGUAUGGCAAUGAACCUAUCCAACGUUACACUAGACAUUUGUGAGGACAUGCAUAUAUACAUAACCAUAGGCACUGUAGUGCAUUGUGAUAGAACAGAUUUCAGUUUAAUUAAUCGCUCUAAAUUAAAAUCUCCACAAGCGGAGGUCAAUUAUAGUGUUCUAGUUUACAUAUUAUCAUUAAUGGUAAGGUUUACUCAAAUAGCGUAUUGGAUAAACACGGGAAUAGAACUUAUGGUGUAUUCUGCACAUGCGUAUAUCUAGGAUAAAAUCCCACAAGCGCAAACGAAACUAUUUCUCUAUAAAAUUGAACUGAAAAGACUCACAGCGACCGUUUCCAACAGUGCUUCAGGCACCCGACGACCCCGUAUGGGGGGCCUUUAGCACUGUCACCUUCUCAUCUUGGGAUGUUCACGUUAAGGCCGGCGCACACUAGAGCUAUGUGCUUAGCAAAAUGUCAUUCGUGACUGUUGGCGUAAGGAGAUAGCUCUCGUGUGCGGGCGAUUUACGAACGACUUUUGUCAUUCGUGCCACUUACGCCAAAUAUCUAACAUGUUUGAUAAUUUCUGUCUCGCGUGCCAAAAUCUUUCCGUGUGCGGCGAACGAAAGCUAUCUGCUUACGGAUUGUCGUAACAGCGCAUGCGUAGUAUACGAAAGUAAACAUCCAAGAUGGCGAAUAUAUUACCUGGUUGAGAAAGCUUACUGGCUAUUUCUUUCACCGCACAUUCCCUUUUGUCCCUAUUUCUAAAAUCUGCAGAACUCACAUCGUAUAAACAUUUGUAUUCAGGCCAAAGUUCGACAAGUUUGUCCUCUAAAAUUGCCUCGGCCAGCAAUUCAUUUUGCGCCGCCAUCUUGGAUGUUUACUUUCGUAUACUACGCAUGCGCUGUUACGACAAUCCGUAAGCAGAUAGCUUUCGUUCGCCGCACACGGAAAGAAUUUGGCACGCGAGGCAGAAAUUAUCAAACAUGUUAGAUAUUCGGCGUAAGUGGCACGAAUGACAAAAGUCGUUCGUAAAUCGCCCGCACACGAGAGCUAUCUCCUUACGCCAACAGGCACGAAUGACAUUUUGCUAAGCACAUAGCUCUAGUGUGCGCCGGCCUUUAUCGCGUGUACAUGUCAGGGUGACGAAGAUGCAUUAUUGCUAAUAAUGUCUGUGUGCACUGAUGCACGCUGCAUUAUUUUUAAUAAUGUUGUGUGCUAUUUUAAAGGGUAUUGGCAACAAAAAAUUUUAUUGAUUUUAUUGCUUCAUCUGAAGGAACAUGAAAAAAUAAGC